rnacentral:rRNA from 1 species
GACGAACGCUGGCGGCGUGCUUAACACAUGCAAGUCGAACGGGAUCCAAAGGCUUUUUGUUUUUGGUGAGAGUGGCGAACGGGUGAGUAACACGUGAGUAACCUGCCCCCUUCUUUUGGAUAACCGCAUGAAAGUGUGGCUAAUACAGGAUAUUCCAGGCUGGUCGCAUGAUUGGUUUGGGAAAUGGUUUGGUCUGGUGGGGGAUGGGCUCGCGGCCUAUCAGCUUGUUGGUGGGGUGAUGGCCUACCAAGGCGGUGACGGGUAGCCGGCCUGAGAGGGUGGGCGGUCACACUGGGACUGAGAUAAGGCCCAGACGGCUACGGGAGGCAGCAGUGGGGGAUUUUGCACAAUGGGCGCAAGCCUGAUGCAGCGACGCCGCGUGAGGGAUGAAGGCCUUCGGGUUGUAAACCUCUUUCGCUGGGUUGAAAGGCCAUGCUUUGGGUGUGGUUGAUUUGAACUGGUAAAGAAGUACCGGCUAACUACGUG